UCCUCUUCCUCCCGACCCACCUCUCUCUCUCUCUCUCUCUCUCUCUCUCUCUCUCUCUCCUUCCAAACCCUAGCCUCCCCCUCCUGGCCACUCCUCUCUUCCCCACCCCCUCCCACGAAAACCCUAGUCGCCUUUUCCGCUCGCGUCGCGGUCGCCGUCAAUGGCCUGCCACUCGCGCCGCCGCUUCACCAUCGAGCUCGCGCGUCACGCCUCGGGAGAAGAGGAAGCCCACGCCAUUGUUCCCGGCGGAGCACGCCUUCGACGGGAGGAGGCCAGGCAGAUCGGGCCGUCGCCGCCGCCACUCAUUCGCGCCUCCUCCUCCCCACCGGAUCACGACCGAUCCUUCCUUGUGCCAGCCCCUUGUGGCCAUGAAGGGUGGUUGAGCCAUCGGGAGCGGCGGCGAUGGCCUGCUACAACUGCCUCUUCUUCCUUGUUGGCUUGUUCGCCUCCCUCCUCUUCACCCAGGUAAUGCGGAAGGCCCUCGUCACCCCGGCUCAUGGAUUCAUUUAGCCUCCUCCUCCAAUCACUGCCCUGAGAUCCACCGUUGAUGUGUUGUUUUUAGUGAGAGCGGGGAGGGAGGGGGGAGGCAGGGGGAUGGAGAUGGACAGGGGAAGGAGAAAGUAUGCCUUCGUGAUCUGCCCUCUAAAUGUGUUCAUUCCCCUUGAUGUGACCAUCACGGUACUGGACCUCAACGACGCUUGCUAGGACCCUAGACUGGAUCUUAUUGGUGGUUUCUCAACCUGUAGUGAGAACGUUUAGAAAAUCAGGAUUCAACUCCAUCUCGCCAGCACGUGUGGAUUCCAUUUGCUAAAGAUAUUGUGCCGGAUAUUGAUACAGAGAGUAGAGAGAUGUGGAUUACACCACCAAAGGGUCUUUUUGAGGUCAACACACGUCAUGGGUAAUCAAAGAAAGAAAGGUGUCACAUGGUUAGGUCCACCCAUCCUUUUUUUUGCAUGUGUUGAUCUCUUUUGCGUGCGAUGGUGGUGUCACAAGAUGACAAGAAGGCCAAGGUGAUGGCCGACGGCGACGACAGCAUGGUCACCAUCUUCAGCAACAUCGACUCCCAGCUGCAGUAGGACUCCGUUGCCUAUAGAGUCCGCGCCAAGUGUGGCUGCGCCACUCACUCGCGAAGCAUCGCUGAGAGGGAAAGAAGAAAAAGGAUUAUCAAGAGGCUUAGAAGGUUGCAAUACCUCGUGCCCAACAUGGAUAAGCAAACAAAUACUUCAGACAUGGUCAACAUUGUUGUAGACUACAUCAAAGUGGACCAAAUUGAGAAACUAAAAACAGGACCAAGGAAACUGCUCAUGCUGAGCCGAUCAGAAGUGCUGACGCCGCAGAACCAGAUAUGCGAGGUUAUGUUUGCACCAGUGUGAUUAGCAAGCCCAAGUUUUGCUUCAGUAGAUAAGUUGUAAAUGUCCUUCACACCGCGUUUCAAGUAGUAUCCAUGCCCAUUUCCCCCUUCUUUGGUUGUACUAUGGAUUAGCUUCAAUGGCUUCAAGACUAGGAGGUGACAAGUAGAAUGUUGUAAUUUAAGUAUUAAGGCAUUGCCAAUCUUUCAUUUCAACGCAAGUUGGAUUGCUUCUGCUUGUCAUCAUUUUUCCUGGUAAAAUUAUUGUAGGGAUCCUCUGCCUUGAGUCCAUUUCUUGCUAUCAAAGUUCAUUUUUCUAGAUUACUAGACUUAGCAUGAAGUGAUAUGUCUUGGCACAAAAUAUGUACCUCCUGCCUACUCGCCCCAAUUUUUUUGGACCCAAUGAGUUCUUCCAAAUUUUCAACCGUAAAACAUUCAUGUUAACCUUAUUUGCCUAUUCAUUUGUAAACUGGUCUCUCCAGGUUGAAGGCACAUAUUAUAAGCAGGUUACUCUCAGUGCCUCCUUUUGUUAAUAGGCAGUUAUAUCCAAGGUACCUAUGUAAAAUUUCUUGAUCAUUUUGAU